CAAGUCGAACGGCAGCACGGGAGCUUGCUCCUGGUGGCGAGUGGCGAACGGGUGAGUAAUAUAUCGGAACGUAUCCAAUAAUGGGGGAUAACUAGUCGAAAGAUUAGCUAAUACCGCAUACGCCCUGAGGGGGAAAGCUGGGGAUCUUCGGACCUAGCGUUAAUGGAGCGGCCGAUAUCUGAUUAGCUAGUAGGUGAGGUAAGAGCUCACCUAGGCGACGAUCAGUAGCUGGUCUGAGAGGACGACCAGCCACACUGGAACUGAGACACGGUCCAGACUCCUACGGGAGGCAGCAGUGGGGAAUUUUGGACAAUGGGCGCAAGCCUGAUCCAGCCAUUCCGCGUGAGUGAAGAAGGCCUUCGGGUUGUAAAGCUCUUUCGCAAGGGAAGAAAACUUAACCUCUAACAUAGGUUGAGGCUGACGGUACCUUGAUAAGAAGCACCGGCUAACUACGUGCCAGCAGCCGCGGUAAUACGUAGGGUGCGAGCGUUAAUCGGAAUUACUGGGCGUAAAGCGUGCGCAGGCGGCCUGAUAAGUCAGAUGUGAAAUCCCCGAGCUCAACUUGGGAACUGCGUUUGAAACUAUCAAGCUAGAAUAUGUCAGAGGGGGGUAGAAUUCCACGUGUAGCAGUGAAACGCGUAGAGAUGUGGAGGAAUACCAAUGGCGAAGGCAGCCCCCUGGGAUAAUAUUGACGCUCAUGCACGAAAGCGUGGGGAGCAAACAGGAUUAGAUACCCUGGUAGUCCACGCCCUAAACGAUGUCUACUAGUUGUUGGUGGAGUAAAAUCCAUGAGUAACGCAGCUAACGCGUGAAGUAGACCGCCUGGGGAGUACGGUCGCAAGAUUAAAACUCAAAGGAAUUGACGG
rnacentral:rRNA from 1 species